rnacentral:rRNA from 1 species
GCACAAGCGGUGGAUGAUGUGGUUAAUUCGAUGCAACGCGAAAACCUUACCACCUUUGACAUGUACGGAAUCCUUUAGAGAUAGAGGAGUGCUCGAAAGAGAGCCGUAACACAGGUGCUGCAUGGCUGUCGUCAGCUCGUGUCGUGAGAUGUUGGGUUAAGUCCCGCAACGAGCGCAACCCUUAUCAUUAGUUGCUACGCAAGGGCACUCUAAUGAGACUGCCGGUGACAAACCGGAGGAAGGUGGGGGAUGACGUCAAGUCCUCAUGGCCCUUAUGGGUAGGGCUUCACACGUCAUACAAUGGUCGGUACAGAGGGUUGCCAAGCCGCGAGGCGGAGCCAAUCCCACAAAGCCGAUCGUAGUCCGGAUUGUUCUCUGCAACUCGAGAGCAUGAAGUCGGAAUCGCUAGUAAUCGCAGGUCAGCAUACUGCGGUGAAUACGUUCCCGGGUCUU